AUUGAACGCUGGCGGCAUGCCUUACACAUGCAAGUCGAACGGCUGCACGGGAGCUUGCUCCUGGUGGCGAGUGGCGAACGGGUGAGUAAUGCAUCGGAACGUACCCGGAAGUGGGGGAUAACGUAGCGAAAGUUACGCUAAUACCGCAUAUUCUGUGAGCAGGAAAGAGGGGGAUCGCAAGACCUCUCGCUUUCGGAGCGGCCGAUGUCGGAUUAGCUAGUUGGUGGGGUAAAGGCCUACCAAGGCGACGAUCCGUAGCGGGUCUGAGAGGAUGAUCCGCCACACUGGAACUGAGACACAGUCCAGACUCCUACGAGAGGCAGCAGUGGGGAAUUUUGGACAAUGGGCGAAAGCCUGAUCCAGCCAUGCCGCGUGAGUGAAGAAGGCCUUCGGGUUGUAAAGCUCUUUCGGCUGAAAAGAAAUCGCACAGGCUAAUACCCUGUGUGGAUGACGGUAUCAGCAUAAGAAGCACCGGCUAACUACGUGCCAGCAGCCGCCGUAA
rnacentral:rRNA from 1 species